ensembl:snRNA Gm25134 predicted gene, 25134
ACACUUACCUGGCAGGGGAGAUACCAUGAUCAUGAAGGUGGUUUUCCCAGAGCGAGACUCAUCCAUUGCACUCUAAAUGUGCUGACCCUGCAGUUUCUCCAAAUGCAGGAAAUUCAGAGUAAUUCGUGGUAGUGGGAGAUUGUGUUUGAGCUCUCCUGUG